rnacentral:rRNA from 1 species
CAAUAGCGUAUAUUAAAGUUGUUGCAGUUAAAAAGCUCGUAGUUGGAUUUCGGGGCAGCCUGGCUGGUCCGCCGCAAGGCGAGUACUGGUCAGCCGCCCUUCCUCUCGAAAGCCCCGACUGCUCUUCGUUGCAGUGGUCGGGUAGUUCGGGACGUUUACUUUGAAAAAAUUAGAGUGUUCAAGGCAGGCCUACGCCUGAAUACAUUAGCAUGGAAUAAUGGAAGAGGACCUCGGUCCUAUUUUGUUGGUUUCCAGGGCCGAAGUAGUGAUUAAGAGGGACAGUUGGGGGCAUUCGUAUUUAAUUGUCAGAGGUGAAAUUCUCGGAUUUAUGAAAGACGAACAACUGCGAAAGCAUUUGCCAAGGAUGUUUUCAUUAA